rnacentral:rRNA from 1 species
UACGAAGGGGGCUAGCGUUGCUCGGAAUCACUGGGCGUAAAGCGCACGUAGGCGGCUUUCUAAGUCAGGGGUGAAAUCCUGGAGCUCAACUCCAGAACUGCCUUUGAUACUGGAGAGCUCGAGUCCGGAAGAGGUGGAGUGGAACUCCGAGUGUAGAGGUGAAAUUCGUAGAUAUUACGGAAGAACACCAGUGGCGAAGGCGGCUCACUGGUCCGGUACUGACGCUGAUGUGCGAAAGCGUGGGGAGCAAACAG